GGAGGGUUGUGCAUGGGAGGGAAAGAGGGAGGAAAAGAGGAAUGAAGGAGGGAAGGAUGUGCACAGGAGGGAGGGUUAGCGAAGAAAGGGGGAAUGGAGGAGGGAGGUACGGAGGAGGCAAGCCGGAGGGGCAGGCAGGAGAGAAGAGAAGAAAGGGGGCAUAAGAGGAAGCAGCACGGAUGGGCGGAGGGGCAGCGAGAGAAGAACGGGCACUCACAUAGGUUUCAUUUGGACAGAGAGACGAGAGGCCAGCAGCUGCAAACAGCAGAGACAGUAAUGACGUGGUGGCUUCACUGAACUCAACUUUGAAGAAUUUGGUGAUGGUGUAGCACUACUGAUCAGAAAGAGCCUGGACCAGAGCCACAGUGGAAAUCAUGUACUUGGCAAGCAAGCUCCUUCGGCAUUGUUCCACAUGAUCCUAAGCAAGAGGUAUUUGACCUACUUGGAUUCUGUGGAAAACAUCUAUUGACAACACCAUAGGGACUCAAGCAAUGAUUUCUUCUGUAGUAUUCUCUCUUUGGAAACACAUCAGCCUGGGGGACCUCAGACAGCACAGGAGGAUUGGAUUAAGAAUCCUGCCUUCAGGAAGACCAGUGUUAAAAAUGAGUGCUUCAGUUCUGAUUGCCAUGGUCCUAACUUCUCCAGACCUGAAACACAAAGCUUCCCUUGUACUGCAUUCCAUUUCACCUGCUUCUCACUCACCUGAUGUUCUCCCAGGAUUUUCUCAUGUUAUUACUGUGUUGCAGUUACUAUGAGAAAGCAGACUACCCAUUGUUCAAGAAUUCUUGAAAACUGUGAUGACAAUGCAGCAUUAUGAAUGUUUUAAUUCUAGGACCACUUCACAGAAAAUAUCUGAGGUUCCUGCCUGACACUCUGCCUUCCCUGUACUCCUCUGGACUUGUGGAGAUUGGUCCUCAGUGGUCUGAUGGCUUCUGUGAGAGUAGCCUGACAGUAUAAUUUGGAUCCCCCAUCCUUCCACUAUCUCUCUGAGCAUCUUUGUGGGUGUGCAGAACGUUCAAAGAGUGGAUGGGAAGCAGGACCAGGACAGUGAGUGACAUGCCUGAGCACCAGCACUUUCCUUAUCAGCCUGUGCAGUGAGUUCUGUGAAGAAGCAGCGAGCUGGUCAAUGCUGCCCAUUUUCCCUGAUCUGUCAUUGCUACAGGGAAAGGAGCAGGAGGGGAGAAGAUGAGCUUCACUGAGAGUAUGUUUUACCUCUGCUUUGCAAAAACUGAGUUACAGCACCAAAGUCACAGUGAUCCCUGGAAGAUCUAUGUCUCCACCUAUGGAUAGACAGGGAUAAGUAACUGUGUUAACUGUGCAACUGUCUGGUCUUCAGUACUUGACGUUUCUCUAUGCUCUAGGGAAAGUGCCACUGUAGACUCGUGCAGACUAAUUUAACACCUCUAGAAGGUGAUGUUUUUACUUCAGGAAGUUCUACACUAGGAACAUGCUGAUUCAUUUCAGGAUGUGCUUAAGGACAGAUCAGGAACUGGGCAUCAAGACUCCUUUUAGCAACUGAGACUACUGUGGCCUUUUUGAUUGUUGGUUGUUUAGAACCUACUUUUUAAAGGUGAUUGAGAUGUUUUCCUACUUUAAAUUGCAUGUGAUCUGAUUCAAAACCCGGCCAGGUUACAGAGUUUAUAGCAAAAUGCAGUGAUUUGUGUUUUGUUCUCUUCAAAUGAGCACUACCAGUUCCCAUUAAAUCUGACACAACCACAGUGGCAGUCAAGAUCUCUCAGCUGAUAAUCGUUCCUCUUAAAGCAGAUGAAUGGUUAAUUGUGACAUAACGUUCAUAUAAUCUGUAGUAUUUAGCAAAAUGGCAAAUAUGACAUUUUUAAAUAGUGUCUUCUUUCCUGAAGUGGUUUAGUCCUUCUUGCACUAUCUGACAGUCUAGUAGUAUAAAGUCUCACUAAUUUGCCUGUAAAAGAAAGGUGUACUGAAAGAGUUUUAAUGCAGUUUGCAAUAAAACAGGAAAAUUUACUGGCUGUGUCCCUUCAUGAGUUACAUAUGCUGAAUAUA